GAUGAACGCUGGCGGCGUGCCUAAUACAUGCAAGUCGAGCGAACAGACGAGGAGCUUGCUCCUCUGACGUUAGCGGCGGACGGGUGAGUAACACGUGGAUAACCUACCUAUAAGACUGGGAUAACUUCGGGAAACCGGAGCUAAUACCGGAUAAUAUAUUGAACCGCAUGGUUCAAUAGUGAAAGACGGUUUUGCUGUCACUUAUAGAUGGAUCCGCGCCGCAUUAGCUAGUUGGUAAGGUAACGGCUUACCAAGGCAACGAUGCGUAGCCGACCUGAGAGGGUGAUCGGCCACACUGGAACUGAGACACGGUCCAGACUCCUACGGGAGGCAGCAGUAGGGAAUCUUCCGCAACGGGCGAAAGCCUGACGGAGCAACGCCGCGUGAGUGAUGGAGGUGUUCGGAUCGUAAAACUCUGAUAUUAGGGAAGAACAAAUGUGUAAGUAGCUAUGCACGUCUUGACGGUACCUAAUCAGAAAGCCACGGCUAACUACGUG
rnacentral:rRNA from 1 species